UAUUAAGUCUUUGGGAAAGUGAUAUAGGGA
rnacentral:piRNA from 1 species